GUGGGAUCGAGCUUCACUCCCAACCCCUGUGACAUACCUUAAUGUUGCCUCGGCGGAUCAGCCCGCGCCCCGUAAAACGGGACGGCCCGCCAGAGGACCCAAACUCUAAUGUUUCUUAUUGUAACUUCUGAGUAAAACAAACAAAUAAAUCAAAACUUUCAACAACGGAUCUCUUGGUUCUGGCAUCGAUGAAGAACGCAGCAAAAUGCGAUAAGUAAUGUGAAUUGCAGAAUUCAGUGAAUCAUCGAAUCUUUGAACGCACAUUGCGCCCGCUGGUAUUCCGGCGGGCAUGCCUGUUCGAGCGUCAUUUCAACCCUCAAGCCCCCGGGUUUGGUGUUGGGGAUCGGCUCUGCCCUUCUGGGCGGUGCCGCCCCCGAAAUACAUUGGCGGUCUCGCUGCAGCCUCCAUUGCGUAGUAGCUAACACCUCGCAACUGGAACGCGGCGCGGCCAUGCCGUAAAACCCCAACUUCUGAAUGUUGACCUCGGAUCAGGUAGGAAUACCCGCUGAACUUAAGCAUAUCAAUAAGCGGAGGAA
rnacentral:rRNA from 1 species